rnacentral:rRNA from 1 species
AACGUAGGUUCCGAGCGUUAUCCGGAUUUACUGGGCGUAAAGCGCGUUCAGGCGGUUUGGCAAGUCGGGCAUGAAAUCCUUCGGCUCAACCGGGGGAGGUUGUCCGAUACUGCUGAACUGGAGGGCAGUAGAGGGUGGUGGAAUUCCGGGUGUAGUGGUGAAAUGCGUAGAGAUCCGGAGGAACACCAGUGGCGAAAGCGGCCACCUGGACUGCACCUGACGCUGAAACGCGAAAGCUAGGGGAGCGAACGGG